CCGGGGGCGGCCCCGCGGGUGGGGCCCUCGCGCUGCCGCGGGGCUCCCCUGAGCCUUCUCUUCUCCAGACUGAACUAUCCCAGUUCCCUCAGCCGCUCCCCCGUCAGACUCGUGCUCCUGACCCCUCGCGGCUUCGUAUCCCUUGUCUGGACGCGCUCCAGUGCCUCGAUGUCUUUCUUGUAGCGAGGGGCCCCAGACUGCACACAGUGCUCGGGGUGUGGCCCCACCAGAGCCGAUGAGCACCGCGCUCCUGCUGGCUGCACUACUGCUGAUGCGUGCCCAAGCUUUGAGGCAGGACUGCAGAAUAUGGCUCCAAAUAAAGUCUGCGCUCCUGGUGCUGCAGAAACGCUGUUCGCUCUGAUGCAAUUCUCAACCGCAUCGCCACUGCUGGUUGUUUCCAUCAGAGAGGUAUCUGGUAAUCUGAAAAUGGAUCUAGAAGCCAUUGUUCUAGAUACUGCCGUUGACACGGUGAAAGGAAAGCUCGUGCCCUGCAGAGCUCAGGGCUGGAACAGAUUAAGCAAGCUGUGAGGACACCUGCCGAGAAGCCGUGCAGGUUUUUUCAGGUCUCACAGACUGUUGCAGAAGCACAAACGAACCUGCUGGAGCACUUCCCCUAAGCUGGAACACAAACAGACAGGUCCGAACAAAGAGGACGAAACUUCAGCUUACCUUGAGAAUGUUUGCUGGCUUCUAACAGGACCUCCAGCUUCGGAACAACCUCUCCGUUCUCCACGGAGCCAAGAAGAGCAGCUUGCAGAAACACAGCAUCUCUCCCAUGCAAGCCAGCAGCAGCGGCACGCACAAAGGUGAUGGGUCUCUCCACAGGCAGGCACACGUACGCACGGCGCACCGCCUCUCUGCACUGCCUGUCUCAUCUUGUCUUCGCCCUUCUGGAGAUUGCCUCUAGAAGACAGAACCCUCUUAUUUAAGCACAGGAGCAAAGCCACAGCAACAGCAGUGCAAAAUGCACUACAGAUCAGCUGGCAAGGUUGUUCAUUCUGCUAACAAAACUCCCCCAGUUCGUCCUUUGAUAUCUCUAACAAACUCCUCCACCCGCCCACAGCUGCCCAGUGCAGCUCCUGUGCUCUGUGGCAAACCUCAAGGCAGGUGCAGAGAAAUAUGUACCUCUCCAGAAAUGCUGCAGUGGUACUAACUAUCACAAGCCUUUCUUGUCGGGAAAGGAAGACUAGCCUAAUUCUGGGCCCACUGACACACGGUGCAAUAAAAAGGAAAUGAGGAGAGCAUCACAAGAUCCUUACUGCCACACUAACGUUGUCAAAACCAAACCUGCAGUGGGGUUGAAGGGCUGCUCUGUCAUUCCAGUGCCUUCAGUUUUAACUCAUCAUCUUCACCAAACUGUAGCAUGCAUGUAGGAGGCCAUAACUCACGGACUUCCUUCUCCCAUCGAUAAUCAUGUGACGUUUUAAAACAGCAGUCUAAAUUUAGCCCUGGAAAGAUAUGUUACUGAUUUCUGUAAGUGCUGUGACCCCCAAAAAAUAAUUCCUUGAUGUUGUCAUUUCCUCUUCAGCCUCUGCAAGAAGGAGGUUAGUGUGACGUGAAAACAUACAAACACAAGUUUGUAACAUUGAAACUUAGGCCACCAACUUAGUUAACAACUGAACUCACUCAUCAGGUCAAGGCUAUCUCCAGAAGUUUUGAGAUGUUGAUCUUUUUUCGAGGUUUCUCUAGUAGGAUCACCCACGUCAUUGCCAGCUUGAACUCAACUCUCUUUUGCCCUGUAAAAAAAAACAAAACAAAAAAAAACCCAUGGAAACUUCUUGUGAUCAUCGGUAUCACCAGCAAGGCAAACAACUGCACUUUUGUAGCUUCACGGGGAUAUCUGAAUACAUCCCAAUUUUGCUCUCAGCAAAGAAAGUCUGCACGAAGGCCAGCUGAAGGGUAUAAGUUCUCAGUAGGCAGAGGGUAGAUGAGUGGUGUCAGGUUCCUUUUGUUGUUUUCCUGCGUCUUCUGUUCCUUUGCCAUAUCCACAAUCUCACCCAGCCUCGUCCUAAUUAUGCUGAGUACUUCCUGGUUCCUUCUGUGCCUUUUGUGCCGUCUCUACAUUCAGAUAGUCUGUUGGUCUGUUUUGCUGGAUGUGUUUUCCUUCUCUCUGUAAUUGAAACUUUCUUGAAGUGUUCAGAAGGAAGAUUGUAUCAGUGUGUGUGCUCUCCAUAUCAUUAUCUCUGAGAGCACGCUGAGAAAAGCAGGGAUUCUGACGUGCUUUCCCACAGCACCAUAUUCUUCAUGAUUACUUAAUUUAUUCCUUCUGCAGACACACCAGGCUCAAUAAACCUUCAGGUACUUCUGUUGCUGGGAUGUUGUUCUUGCUCAUCUCUCGCCGAGCUUCAGGGAUAAGCAGUGUCAAGGCAGAAAGCAAACUGAUAGGCGACAGAGUUCUAAAAUUCUGAGUUUUCUAGAGGAUGCAAAUUGUUUCCUUUUACUACCUGACAGUGCAACACAAGUAACUUGCCAUGGCAACCAGUUUACGAGACAGAAAAAAAGUGAGCACCCCCAGGUGCUUUGUUACUGCAGUAAGGGAAGAGGCUGAGACCUUACCCUUUUUGGUCUCCAUUGAGCUGCACGUCAUCUAGGUAAGCCGUCAGUAGAAAUUUAUGCUGUGUUUGGUGCAAGUUAGCUGCUGCAUGAGCCUCUUUGAUACUUGGAUCAAAACUGAAGUGCAGUCAGAAGGAAAGAAGGAAGUGCUCAGAAGAAUUGAAACAAAGCUGGAUUCUCAGAAGCACAAGGCCUAAUCCAUAUCCGCAACAAGCUGACGCAACUCUGCAGAUGCCAGUAAGAGAUGAACCUGUUUCUUCAGAAAUUAAUUUGGUUUCCAUCCUCUGGCAGUCUCGGUUCUUUUCCCAAUUUCUUUCAAGAAAACUCUGCUCUGCAGAGCUGGGAGUAUUCUGGAGUUAUCUGGGACAGAAGAUGGCAUAGGCUCGCAGAGUCUGUGUUCACAUCCAUUCUCUUUACAGAGAUGCUUCUGGGAAGGGCAGACUUUUUGGUAUGCAGCUUACUUGUGUUGGUGAGAGAACUGAGAAAAGACAAAGUCACGUGGUUAAGGACAGCGAGGGAAAACCCUCCUAACUGCAAGGAGAGCAAAACUGAUCUCCGUUAGCUCAGAGGAGGAGGACUGUGGAAGCUGCUAUAUGUGCAAGUGUUCCUAGAAGCCAGUGUGCUUAAGGUAGGCUCAUUUGUUAAAAAUGAGCAGGCCUAGGAUAAAUACAGAAUGUUAGCUGUACACCUGAACUGGAAAGGGUGCCUUCUGGAGGACAGUCUUCGAAAGUGAAAGAAAAACAGAAAGUUUCUUAAUCCCUAGGCUACUGACGAGGUAUAGGUAACACUGCUCCCAUUGUGCAAUAGAAUAAAUAGGUGC
ensembl:lncRNA